UUCUUCCCUGCACGUCUGCUCUGCAAGCUGCCCUGUCCCUCCUGCUUGCAUGCACGAGUUGGAGAGGCAGGGCAGUUUGCAGAGUUGACACACAGGAAGGU